GGGAAGAAGAGAAGGGGGGAAAGAAAAGGGAGCUUGUUGGCAUCCCGGGAAGUAUGCCUGUUUGAGGGUCAGUAUUAACACAACAUCGGUUUGGUUGCAAAUUGUGACGUUUCCGGAGUUUGGGCUAUCUUAACUUUUUUGGUUACGGGGCUUAAAAUUGACCUUUUUUGCGCAUUUUUAGACGUACAUAAAUUUUUUUUUUAUUCGUCCACUCUUAAUGCCAAAAUCUUACUAGAUGCGAUCACAACAUGUGGUUUCGUGUCAAUAAACUUUUCAUGAUUUGACCUCAAAUCAGGUAGGA
rnacentral:misc_RNA from 1 species